rnacentral:rRNA from 1 species
GGAGUUUGAUCCUGGCUCAGAUUGAACGCUGGCGGCAUGCCUUACACAUGCAAGUCGAACGGUAACAGGUUAAGCUGACGAGUGGCGAACGGGUGAGUAAUACAUCGGAACGUGUCCUGUAGUGGGGGAUAGCCCGGCGAAAGCCGGAUUAAUACCGCAUACGAUCUACGGAAGAAAGCGGGGGAUCGCAAGACCUCGCGCUAUAGGGGCGGCCGAUGGCAGAUUAGCUAGUUGGUGGGGUAAAGGCCUACCAAGGCGACGAUCUGUAGCUGGUCUGAGAGGACGACCAGCCACACUGGGACUGAGACACGGCCCAGACUCCUACGGGAGGCAGCAGUGGGGAAUUUUGGACAAUGGGGGAAACCCUGAUCCAGCAAUGCCGCGUGUGUGAAGAAGGCCUUCGGGUUGUAAAGCACUUUUGUCCGGAAAGAAAACUUCUGCCCUAAUACGGCGGGAGGAUGACGGUACCGGAAGAAUAAGCACCGGCUAACUACGUGCCAGCAGCCGCGGUAAUACGUAGGGUGCGAGCGUUAAUCGGAAUUACUGGGCGUAAAGCGUGCGCAGGCGGUUCGUUAAGACAGAUGUGAAAUCCCCGGGCUUAACCUGGGAACUGCAUUUGUGACUGGCGAGCUAGAGUAUGGCAGAGGGGGGUAGAAUUCCACGUGUAGCAGUGAAAUGCGUAGAGAUGUGGAGGAAUACCGAUGGCGAAGGCAGCCCCCUGGGCCAAUACUGACGCUCAUGCACGAAAGCGUGGGGAGCA